AUGUGCAGCGUCCCCGUGAAACUCCUUGGAUGUCGCCCAACCGGACUAGUUAGCGCUCUUUGUGGACGGCUUUUCUCUUUGGAUGAUGGUUUGGCGGGGCUUGAAAUGAUUCUCAUGAACAAUGUAGGAGAGACCUUCCAAAUCCAAAAACAAGAAACAUAUCCCACGGAUAUCCCCUCGCCGCUCAGAAACAUCAUCGCCUUCGCCUUCCUGGACGGCGACCUCGCCGCACGAAAACACCGCCGCCGCCUUCCCUGGCCGCCCUCCACUGGCCAUUACAUGCGCGGCUGCUCCCGCCUCACCUUCUUCGCUGCAAACAGGCCGUCGUAUUCAGUCUACGAAGUCGAUGUUAUGACUUCUCCAAAUCACUCGGGGGCACGCACCACAUUUCAGGAUAUAAGCAACAUCCAUUCCUCAGACCCUAAAGAAAUUAAGAGGCAGAGGGACAGAGAAUAUUAUGCACGAAACAGAGAGGACAUUCUGAAAAGACGUCGAGAGGCACGUUUAAAGAAGCAGACUGAUAAACCACUGCCGAAUGAUGAGCAAAAUGUGCCACACACACCCCUAGCCAUGUCCCAUGACCCUAAAGACAUACGGAGGCAAAGGGACAGGGAGCGUCUGACCUUCCCAAGCUACAUCCUGCAAACAAACAACAUUCGUAAGAAUGGCUUGGCAGAAGUUAGCAACAGGUCAUCAUUACCUCCUGAUGUUUAUUUGGCAUGA
rnacentral:rRNA from 1 species